AUUGAACGCUGGCGGCAUGCCUUACACAUGCAAGUCGAACGGUAACAGGUCUUCGGAUGCUGACGAGUGGCGAACGGGUGAGUAAUACAUCGGAACGUGCCUAGUAGUGGGGGAUAACUACUCGAAAGAGUGGCUAAUACCGCAUGAGAUCUACGGAUGAAAGCAGGGGAUCGCAAGACCUUGUGCUACUAGAGCGGCCGAUGGCAGAUUAGGUAGUUGGUGGGAUAAAAGCUUACCAAGCCGACGAUCUGUAGCUGGUCUGAGAGGACGAUCAGCCACACUGGGACUGAGACACGGCCCAGACUCCUACGGGAGUCAGCAGUGGGGAAUUUUGGACAAUGGGCGAAAGCCUGAUCCAGCAAUGCCGCGUGCAGGAUGAAGGCCUUCGGGUUGUAAGCUGCUUUUGUACGGAACGAAAAGCCCUGGGUUAAUACCCUGGGGUCAUGACGGUACCGUAAGAAUAAGCACCGGCUAACUACGUGCCAGCCGCCGCCGUAA
rnacentral:rRNA from 1 species